rnacentral:tRNA from 1 species
GCGUCGGUGGCGGAGUGGUCAAUCGCAUCAGACUGUAAAUCUGACGGGCUUAGCCCUACGGGGGUUCGAAUCCCUCCCGGCGCA